ACUGGAAUGUCCCACCAGAGAGAGUGAGAGUCUCGUAAGUCACGCGCGGGUUGGGUCCAAUACCCUUUACCAGGGCCCGGAUGAUCCACCAAUUCCUGAGAGUCGGGUUGCUUGAGAGUGCAGCCUGAAGCGGGUGGUAGACCCCAUCCAAGGCUAAAUACAACCGGGAGACCGAUAGCGAACAAGUACCGCGAG
rnacentral:rRNA from 1 species